rnacentral:rRNA from 1 species
UAAAGUGGCGCACGGGUGAGUAACACGUGGAUAAUCUGCCCUAGAGUGGGGAAUAACGAUGGGAAACCGUCGCUAAUACCGCAUAAUCCCGAGAGGGGAAAGCAGCAAUGCGCUCAAGGAGGAGUCCGCGGCCGAUUAGCUUGUUGGUAGGGUAAUGGCCUACCAAGGCUUCGAUCGGUAGCCGGCCUGAGAGGGCACACGGCCACACUGGCACUGAAACACGGGCCAG